AUAUAUAUAUAUAUAUAUAGGGCAACUACACUUUUAUAAGUAUAGAAUACUUUGUGUUCAUAAAUUUUCAACUGUUGGAUGAAGGAAUGUGCAGUUAGGAUAAUAAUAGUCGUUGGUUAGGAUUAUAGUGGUUCUCUAGAGUUGAGUGGAUGGUUGGUUGAAUAGUAUGAUUUAACGGAUGAAAAUGGUCAAAGUGAUAAAUUUAAUGAUCGAAAACUUAUGAAUAUAAAGAGGUCUAUACUCAUGAGAGUAUAGUAGCCGAACUCUCUCUCCCCCUCUCUCUCUCUCUCUCUAUAUAUAUAUAUAUAUAUAUUAGGUCAAACUAAAUAUAAAGGAAUUUAUUUUUAAAAAAAAUUUAAUUAUCGUAUUAAGAUUCUAAUUUUUUAUUUUUUAAAAUCUUUCAUCUAAUAAUAGACUAAUAAUUUAAUUUACUGUUCCCGAAUGAGUUCGAGUUCAGCUCUUUAAUAAACAAGACAAAUACAAACUGAAUUUUUUAACUCGAUAUUUUAAUGGAUCAAUUUCUGUUCGGCGCGUUUAACAAACGAGAGAAC
rnacentral:lncRNA from 1 species